rnacentral:rRNA from 1 species
UACGGAGGGUGCAAGCGUUAAUCGGAAUUACUGGGCGUAAAGCGUGCGUAGGCGGCUCGUUAAGUCAGAUGUGAAAGCCCUGGGCUCAACCUGGGAACUGCAUUUGAAACUGGCGAGCUAGAGUUUGAGAGAGGUAAGUGGAAUUUCAGGUGUAGCGGUGAAAUGCGUAGAGAUCUGAAGGAACACCAGUGGCGAAGGCGACUUACUGGCUUAAAACUGACGCUCAGGUACGAAAGCGUGGGUAGCAAACAGG